GUUCAUGCAUCCAAGUGCAUCAUCAUCUUCCUUCAUAAAAUCUGAAUUUUGCAAUUUGAAGCCAUGUUUCUUGCAUCGACGACAGUUCUCCUUUUAAGUCUGCAGUUUAGGCUACCUCUUUUUUACGGAAGAUGUUCAUCGCAUCACUGUAUAAGGCAACGGAAUUUGAGAGAACAGCAAGCACGAUCAUGGUCACAGCAAGGAUCUUGUCACGCUUGGUAGCAAUUCCAUAAGAAUCCCUGCAAAAAUUAAGCCAUGUUAUUAUGUGUCAUGUAAAAUGCAUCAGCUAGUAGGCAAUAUACACAAGAGUACACAUAUAUUUACCUGAGUAUAACCAUGGCAGGAAAGAUGAAACCGAUAAGGACGGCGGCUGUGGCACCAGUAAACUGGAAUGCGUCCCAGAUACUUGGUAUAAGAAUGGCAGCAAGGUAAAUUACUGUGAGGAGAGUGAUGGUGAUGAUGGCAAAUCUCUUGUUGUCAUGAGAAAUGUGCCUCGACGUGGGGAAGAGCAAUCCAUCUAAGUUAAGCCGAAGGGCAAAGAAGACAAUGGGAAAGACAAGCAUGACAUGUGCAGCAUAGCUCACUCGAACAAUAUCAUCAAAGACUGAGCUGAACGGAAUGCCAAGAUUUGCAUCAAAGUUGGCAAGCACGUCAUCCAGUGUGCCCUCACCAAACAGGAGAUAUGCAAAAAAGCUUGUGGCAAUGUAAACACUGGAGCACAGGACCAGCGAUGUUCGCACGAUCGGUUUGAUCUGUGUUCUGUCUUCAAGUUCAUUGUCAAUGCUGUGAACUUUAGAAUCAUGAAUAGGAUGAAUUAGAAUCUGAAUUUUUGAAGAAUCAGAAAGGUAUCUGUUCGAUGGUAGUGCUUACCGUUGUAGUGGCAGAUGUAGGCAGUAACAAGAACAGGGACAGCUGUAAAAAGAUUCCAGAUAGAAUUUAGACCAUCUAAUUCUGGAAAAAGUUUGGGCAUUGCUACAGUUCCAUUGAAAAGCUUGAUGAUGGCAAUUCCAGCAGUAAUUACAACAAAAACCACUGCCAGGGCAACUGAUAGCGCAGAUGUGUAUCUCAAUGAAUCUGUGGGAAAUAACAAGAUUUAUUUUUAUUAACAUGCAGUUAAAAAUAGGGAAUAUGAUGAAGGGUAUUUUUCACAACAUGCAAACAUGUACACAUACCCAAACGCUUAAAGCUCACCAGUGGAGCAAACACCAAAAGAGCUGUAGCAAGAAGAACAAUAGGACGCGAAUUCCACAUAUGAGCUCCAAACCAGCCCUCCAAUAUGCCACGAUGAUGAACACCGGCUGAUGUUGUUCCAGACAAUACAUCACCUAUCAAAAGUUUAAGAACCAGUGUCAGUUGCGGUUCAUUGCAUAUAAAGUUCAUUUUAAGGAACAACGUGUUAUUCAACAGGAAAAUUUCCUUCUCUGUUUUUUCAGCAGGAGAGAAACUAUUGUCAGCAAGGCGGUAACUAAGUUUCUUGAAUUAACCAGAAAGCGAUAUACUAAGGAAACACAUAUCAAAAGCUGGGUCACAUGAAUUUGAAAAUACAUUCUAUCUGAAAGUUUUAAGUAAAAAUUGGAAUUAUAUGGGCUCCAAAGGCAUGCCCAAAAAGUGCUGUGUCAUCAUCUCAUUUAAAAAGGACUACUAAGUGUACCUGGAGAACUACAUUUCUCAUACCUAGUCAUUUCAUCUGUACGUCUCAAAAUGUUCAAAAGUAAUAUUAGAAGUAGAGGGCCGAAUGCUGGGUUUAAGAGUACCUAUGAUAAUCAUGUAAACAAUUAGCACGCCAACAUUGUUUAUGAUGAUGGAGGCCUGCAGUGCGAUUCUCCCCCACUGUCCAAAAACCUCACCCAUCAGCCACCCAUAUGAUGUAAUCUUGCCCUGGUGGCUGCACCUGACAAGCAUGUCAAUGGAUGCCUCUGUGAGCAGUGCCACAAUGAUGAUCAUCAGAAUUCCCGGGAUAAUGCCCAGCAUCUUGAUACUUGCUGGCAGGGCCAUAAUUCCAGCCCCAACUAUGGUGGUCGACAGAUUGAAAACUGCCCCUGAGAAUGAAGCACCAUUGAACUCAUGAAACCCAUCAUCCUCCUCCACCUUGACUGGAAGAAGUGGUGUGGUCUCAUCUCUUAUUUCCUUACGCGCUGAUUGCUGGUUCCCGUUUGAUGAUCCAUCUCCGAUCGCCAUAUUUCUUUAUCUCUGUGACUCUCCUGGAUGGGAAAUAUUUCCAGUCAGCAAUUCAGUGCAAUAGAUUACUGAUUUAAAUGACCAAUUAUAUACAUGUCUUUUUGCUCAUAUGUUUCCUAUAAUGAAAUCUAUCUUGUUCUUUUUCAAAAAAAAAAUUUAUCUUGUUUUGAGUGGGACACUCAGUUUCAUUUCCAUUUCUUACGUUAUUUAGCCAUACUAAUUACCUUAAGUAGAUGUGCAGUUUUGUUAAAUCAAUACAGAUCCAUUGAGAAAAAAAAAAACUGAUAGCAAGUUUCAGUUCAUAGUCAGAGUAAGCAGACAAAAUAAGCUUUCCUAAAACAAAAGUAGUAGGCCAGUUAAACCAUGCCCCAAAUUCCAAUCUUUCCAACACAAUUCACAUAAUCACAUCAACAAAAAACUCGAGACAACCCACCAUGGCAACUAGCAAAUACACCGUCAUUAUUGGCCUAAAAUUGCCGGACUCGAACGGAACCUACAAACUACUAGUGAAAUAAGAACAACCUUCAUCCUCUACCGAAUUCACCUCAGAUGAACCCAGUACAAUCACAAAGAACAGAAGGAAAUGGACUCUCCCAUAAUCCAACCCAAGCAAGAAGAACCAUCGGCUCCUCACCACGAACUCAACGCACAGAGGAUGGAAUCAUGGAAAGAGAUAGGGAAAGGCCAAACCUUGCCACAACUCAAUUCUCUGAAUUAUGAGAUCCCUUCCGGAUCUGAGGCCAAACAAUGAACCACUGAACUGAACCAGAGCCAAGCAGGCAGAAUUUGGGGAGACCUCUCUCCCCCUCUCUCCGGUCUGCACAGACCAGCUCGCUUUAUAGCCAGGAAACGCAGAGCUGCAUCCAGGUGAUGCAAUUAGCCCAGCCAAACAAUGGAUCCAAUCAGAUCCUGUCGCUGUCCACUGUCCACGCGCUACAGUUUCCCCCCGCC
rnacentral:lncRNA from 1 species